rnacentral:rRNA from 1 species
GACGAACGCUGGCGGCGUGCCUAAUACAUGCAAGUUGAGCGCUGAAGGUUGGUACUUGUUCCAACUGCAUGAGCAGCGAACGGGUGAGUAACGCGUGGGGAAUCUGCCUUUGAGCGGGGGACAACAUUUGGAAACGAAUGCUAAUACCGCAUAAAAUCUUUAAACACAUGUUUUAAGAUUGAAAGAUGCAAUUGCAUCACUCAAUGAUGAUACCGGGUUGUAUUAGCUAGUUUGUGAGGUAAACGCUCACCAAGGCGAAGAUACAUAACCGACCUGGGAGGGUGGUCCGGCACAUUGGGAACGGGACACGGCUCAAAACCCUACGGGGGGCAGCAGGAGGGAAAUCUUGGCAAUUGACGAAAGGCUUACCGGGGAACGGCGCGGGGGUGGAGGAGGUUUUCGGAUCGUAAAACUCUGGUUAUAGGGAAGAAAGUUAGGGGUAGUGAAAUGCGCACGAAGUGACGGUAACUAACCAGAAAGCGACGGCUAACUACGUG